rnacentral:lncRNA from 1 species
CCCCACACUCCUUCCCCAUCCUGCUCCACAUAGAGAAUAGAGUGACAUUACCAGAAAUGUAGAUGCUUGGAAGGACUCCAGCGACACGGAGAAGAGGAGGCUGGAUGUCCACAAGGCACCCAGCUCCUGGCCCCGGAUGCCCAGGACUCUGUCCAGAAAGGCUCCCUCCCAGCCAUGGAACUUGGUGGUCCUCAAGUUCUUGAGGAUGGAGCUGCUGAGCCAGGCCCACGAGUCCUUCUGCCUCAUUUGCUCUUCCUGGGAUUGGAGGGAAGAGAGAGAUGAAGACAGGGCCAGUCCAGAAUUCUCCCCUGCACCCUGACAGCCAGCCUGCAGCAAAUCCCACUGAUCUUACCAAGUACAUCUCAAAGCUGUCUGGCUUUCUGCAUCUCUGACCCUCAGUCCUGAUCCAUCACCAUCAUUCUGUGCCUGGACUCCUGCAGGAGCUGACCCAGGAGCAUUUCCCCAGGGAGGCAGCUUCUGAUGCCCAGAGAACAGAGGCUGCCCCUGAGCCCACCUGCAUAUGGCACCAUCAGGAAGGCUACCUGGAGACAGGACAGGAAAGCUUUUGGUGUGUACAUCUCAUGCAUUGAACCAGGAUUAUUCAAAACAAACUUGGCAGAUCCAGUAAAGACACUUGAAAAAAAACUUGCCAUUUUGGAGCAGCUGUCUCCAGACAUCAAAGGACAAUAUGGAGAAGGUUACAUUGAAAAAGGUCUAGACAAACUGAAGGGCAAUACAUCCUUUGUGAACAUGGACCUCUCUCUGGUGGUAGAGUGCAUGGACACACUCUAACAAGUCUUUUCCCUAAGACUCAUUAUGCUGCUGGAAAAGAUGCCAAAAUUGUCUGGAUACCUCUGUCUCACAUACCAGCAGUCUUGCAAGACUUUUUAUUGUUGAAACUUUUAUUGUUGAAACUGCCUUGGCUAAUCCCAAGGCAGUGUGAUUCAGCUGAUGACAAAUGCCUGCUCCAGGCUAUGAGAUUGGCUGAUUUCAAGAGCACAUCUCCUUUUCUCCUUACCUGCUCCAACCUGGACUCGUUUAGAUUGUGCUUGUUUGGAUUACAAAACAGAGUCCCACCAUCGCUGGCGGUGUCCCAGGGUCCCUGCUCAAGUU